rnacentral:rRNA from 1 species
CUCCCGCCGGCGACCGGCGCACGGGUGAGUAACACGUAUGAAACCUGCCCGUAGCAGGGGGAUAAGCGGAAGAAAUUCCGUCUAAUACCGCGUAACAACCCGAGGAGGCAUCUCCUCGGGUUUAAAGGAAGCGAUUCCGGCUACGGAUGGUCAUGCGUCGCAUUAGCUAGUUGGCGGGGUAACGGCCCACCAGGGCGACGAUGCGUAGGGGUUCUGAGAGGAAGGUCCCCCGCACUGGUACUGAGACACGGACCAGACUCCUACGGAAGGCAGCAG